rnacentral:rRNA from 1 species
GGCGAACGCUGGCGGCGGGCUUAACACAUGCAAGUCGAACGGAAAGGCCCUGCGUGUGUGGGGUUCUCGAUUGGCGAAGGGGUGAGUAACAGGUGAGUAACCUGCCCUUGAUUUUGGGAUAACUUCAGGAAAGUGGGGCUAAUACCGUAUAGGAUAUCCUGCUGCAGGGUGGGGGUGGGAAAGUCUGGGCGGGUGCGGAUGGACUCGCGGGUGAUGAGCUUGCUGGUGGGGUGGGUGCAUACCAAGGCAUGCGCGGGUACGCCGCCGGGGAGGGGGGACGGGCACCUUGGGACUGCGAUACGGCCCAGACUCCUACGGGAGGCAGCAGUGGGGAAUCUUGCCCAAUGGGCGGAAGCCUGAGGCAGCGACGCUGCGUGCGGGAUGACGGUCUUCGGGGUGUAAACCGCUUCCGCCUGUGACGACGCGUGAGUGACGGUAAUGGGUAAAGAAGCACCGGCUAACUACGUG